AGAUUGAACGCUGGCGGCAUGCCUAACACAUGCAAGUCGAACGGGAGUAGCAAUACUCUAGUGGCGGACGGGUGAGGAAUACGUAGGAAUUUGCCCUUAAGUGGGGGAUAACCCGGGGAAACCCGGAUUAAUACCGCAUGACCUCGAAAGAGCAAAGUGGGGGAUCGCAAGACCUCACGCUUUUGGAGAAGCCUACGUCGGAUUAGCUAGUUGGUGAGGUAAUGGCUCACCAAGGCGACGAUCCGUAACUGGUCUGAGAGGAUGAUCAGUCACACCGGAACUGAGACACGGUCCGGACUCCUACGGGAGGCAGCAGUGGGGAAUAGUUGGACAAUGGGACGAAAGCCUGAUCCAGCCAUGCCGCGUGUGUGAAGAGGUCUUCGGAUUGUAAAGCUACUUUAAGGUUGGGAGGAAGGCAGUUACUAUACGUAUCUUGUUUGACGUUACGACUAGAAUAAGCACCG
rnacentral:rRNA from 1 species